AUGCCCUAGUAACGGCGAGUGAAGCGGCAACAGCUCAAAUUUGAAAUCUGGCGCAAGCCCGAGUUGUAAUUUGUAGAGGAUGCUUCUAGGCAGCGGCCGGUCUAAGUUUCUUGGAACAGGACGUCAUAGAGGGUGAGAAUCCCGUAUGUGACCGGUUGGCACCUUAUACGUAGCUCCUUCGACGAGUCGAGUUGUUUGGGAAUGCAGCUCUAAAUGGGAGGUAAAUUUCUUCUAAAGCUAAAUACCGGCCAGAGACCGAUAGCGCACAAGUAGAGUGAUCGAAAGAUGAAAAGUACUUUGGAAAGAGAGUUAAAAAGCACGUGAAAUUGUUAAAAGGGAAGCGCUUGCAACCAGACUUGUCGGCGGUGUUCCGCCGGUCUUCUGACCGGUCUAUUCGCCGCCUACAGGCCAGCGUCGUCUGGUGCCGCCGGAUAAAGGCUUUGGGAAUGUAGCUCCUCGGAGUGUUAUAGCUCAUUGCACAAUACGGCGCGCGCCGGGCGAGGUCCGCGCUUCGGCAAGGACGCUGGCGUAAUGGUCGUAAGCGGCCCGUCUUGAAACACGGACCAAGGAGUCGAUCAAUUGUGCGAGUGUUCGGGUGAAAAACCCUUGCGCGUAAUGAAAGUGAACGGAGGCGAGAACCGUAAGGUGCAUCGUCGACCGAUCCUGAUGUCUUCGGAUGGAUUUGAGUAAGAGCAUAGCUGAUCGGACCCGAAAGAUGGUGAACUAUGCCUAAAUAGAAUGAAACCAGGGGAAACCCUGGCGGAAGUUCGCAGCGGUUCUGACGUGCAAAUCGAUCGUCAAAUUUGGGUAUAGGGGCGAAAGACUAAUCGAACCAUUAACUACUAGGUGGUUAAGAGGGCCGCCCGCGGGCGCGCUCUAGUCGGCGUGAAUUCGCGGCGACACUGUCAAAUUGCGGGAACUUCCUCAGAGCCGACGCUACCAAGCGGUGUCCGAAAGGGCCCCGUGGCCGGGUUAACGACCCCGGGUAAGGUGACAACGCGUCGGAUUGGUUGACCCGCAGCCAAUUCCUACCCUAGUCGCCUUCAAAUUUCGAUGGGCGGCCGGCACGGAUGCAGUUCAACGACUGGACGGCGGUGGGCCGUGAGGCUUAAGGUACAGUCUAAUCCUCGGUCGAAAGGCCGAGGGGGGGAGCCAGCGGCGGACAUUGGCGUUCCGUUGAUG
rnacentral:rRNA from 1 species